rnacentral:rRNA from 1 species
GAUGAACGCUGGCGGCGUGCCUAAUACAUGCAAGUCGAGCGAACAGGCGAGGAGCUUGCUCCUCUGACGUUAGCGGCGGACGGGUGAGUAACACGUGGAUAACCUACCUAUAAGACUGGGAUAACUUCGGGAAACCGGAGCUAAUACCGGAUAAUAUAUUGAACCGCAUGGUUCAAUAGUGAAAGACGGUUUUGCUGUCACUUAUAGAUGGAUCCGCGCCGCAUUAGCUAGUUGGUAAGGUAACGGCUUACCAAGGCAACGAUGCGUAGCCGACCUGAGAGGGUGAUCGGCCACACUGGAACUGAGACACGGUCCAGACUCCUACGGGAGGCAGCAGUAGGGAAUCUUCCGCAAUGGGCGAAAGCAUGACGGAGCAACGCCGCGUGAGUGAUGAAGGUCUUCGGAUCGUAAAACUCUGUUAUUAGGGAAGAACAAAUGUGUAAGUAACUAUGCACGUCUUGACGGUACCUAAUCAGAAAGCCACGGCUAACUACGUG